rnacentral:rRNA from 1 species
CGCGCAGGCGGCCUUUCAAGUCAGGCGUGAAAGCCCCGGGCUUAACCUGGGAAUUGCGCUUGGGACUGAAGGGCUGGAGUUCGGGAGAGGAGAGUGGAAUUCCCAGUGUAGAAGUGAAAUUCGUAGAUAUUGGGAAGAACACCGGUGGCGAAGGCGGCUCUCUGGACCGAUACUGACGCUGAGGCGCGAAAGCGUGGGGAGCAAACAGGAUUAGAUACCCUGGUAGUCCACGCUGUAAACGAUGUGCGCUAGACGUUGGAGGGCGUAGCCUUCCGGUGUCGCAGCUAACGCUUUAAGCGCACCGCCUGGGGAGUACGGCCGCAAGGUUAAA